rnacentral:rRNA from 1 species
UACGGGGGGGGGCAAGCGUUGUUCGGAAUUACUGGGCGUAAAGGGCUCGUAGGUGGCCAACUAAGUCAGACGUGAAAUCCCCUCGGCUUAACCGGGGAACUGCGUCUGAUACUGGAUGGCUUGAGAUUGGGAGAGGGAUGCGGAAUUCCAGGUGUAGCGGUGAAAUGCGUAGAUAUCUGGAGGAACACCGGUGGCGAAGGCGGCAUCCUGGACCAACACUGACACUGAGGAGCGAAAGCCAGGGGAGCAAACGGG